CCCCUCUCAAGGUCACACCUGGAGAAUUUCUAGUACUCUACUGGUCUCAGCUAUGGGAGGGAGAAUCAAGCAGAGGCAUACCCAUUCCAUUCCUAGUUUGGCCAGUGGCUAGAGAGUGGAAAGCAAUCUGCUACAAGU